AGGGUUGUGGCUCAGUGGUAGAGCGCUCUCCUAGCGUGAGGCCUGGGUUCGAUCCCCAGCACCACAU
rnacentral:tRNA from 1 species